rnacentral:rRNA from 1 species
AUUGAACGCUGGCGGCAUGCCUUACACAUGCAAGUCGAACGGCAGCACGGGAGCAAUCCUGGUGGCGAGUGGCGAACGGGUGAGUAAUGUAUCGGAACGUACCAUUGAGUGGGGGAUAACGUAGCGAAAGUUACGCUAAUACCGCAUAUACCCUGAGGGGGAAAGCAGGGGAUCGCAAGACCUUGUGCUCUUUGAGCGGCCGAUAUCAGAUUAGCUAGUUGGUGAGGUAAAGGCUCACCAAGGCGACGAUCUGUAGCGGGUCUGAGAGGAUGAUCCGCCACACUGGAACUGAGACACGGUCCAGACUCCUACGGGAGGCAGCAGUGGGGAAUUUUGGACAAUGGGGGCAACCCUGAUCCAGCCAUGCCGCGUGAGUGAAGAAGGCCUUCGGGUUGUAAAGCUCUUUCGGCCGGGAGGAAAUCGCAUCAGCUAAUACCUGGUGUGGAUGACUGUACCGGAGUAAGAAGCACCGGCUAACUACGUGCCAGCAGCCGCCGUAAAAC